GGGGGGAGGCGGGAUCCUGGGCUGUGUCCGGGCGCCCACGCUGUUGGAUUCGCGCUCCCGGGCCACGCAACCCCCU
rnacentral:pre_miRNA from 1 species